rnacentral:rRNA from 1 species
CCUACGGGAGGCAGCAGUGAGGAAUAUUGGUCAAUGGCCGCAGGCCUGAACCAGCCAAGUCGCGUGAGGGAUGACGGUCCUAUGGAUUGUAAACCUCUUUUGUCAGGGAGCAAAGGGCGCCACGUGUGGCGUUUUGCGAGUACCUGAAGAAAAAGCAUCGGCAAACUCCGUGCCAGCAGCCGCGGUAAUACGGAGGAUGCGAGCGUUAUCCGGAUUUAUUGGGUUUAAAGGGUGCGCAGGCGGAAUGUCAAGUCAGCGGUAAAAUUUCGGGGCUCAACCCCGUCGUGCCGUUGAAACUGGGGUUCUUGAGUGAGCGAGAAGUAUGCGGAAUGCGUGGUGUAGCGGUGAAAUGCAUAGAUAUCACGCAGAACUCCGAUUGCGAAGGCAGCAUACCGGCGCUCAACUGACGCUGAUGCACGAAAGCGUGGGUAUCGAACAGGAUUAGAUACCCUAGUAGUC